GUGGGGAAUAUUGGGCAAUGGGGGCAACCCUGACCCAGCGACGCCGCGUGGGGGAAGACGGCCUUCGGGUUGUAAACCUCUUUUGUACGGGAAGAAGGAAGUGACGGUACUGUACGAAUAAGUCCCGGCUAACUACGUGCCAGCAGCCGCGGUAAUACGUAGGGGACGAGCGUUGUCCGGAAUUACUGGGCGUAAAGGGCGCGCAGGCUGUGCUGCAAGUCAGCUGUUAAAUGUCUGGGCUUAACCCGGGCAUGCGGUUGAGACUGCGGUGCUGGAGUGCUGUAGAGGCAAGUGGAAUUCCCAGUGUAGCGGUGAAAUGCGUAGAUAUUGGGAAGAACACCGGUGGCGAAGGCGACUUGCUGGGCAGCAACUGACGCUGAGGCGCGAAAGCCAGGGGAGCAAACGGGAUUAGAUACCCCUGUAGUCC
rnacentral:rRNA from 1 species